AUGCGGUUUCUGAGGCUCUUUGCGAUUUGUGACGACCCGACUGUUCUUGUAUUUGCAGCUGCUUUGGAUGAGGGAUGGAAUAUUGCAUUCCGCCGCUCAUUCGGACCAGCCGGGGUAGAAGAAUGGACAGAAUUAAGGGAAGUAGUCCCUCUUCCUAUGUCCCAGGAUCCUGACUUUGUUUCUUGGAGCCUCUCUCCUUCGGGAGAAUUCUCCGUUAGCUCAUCUUAUCAGGCGCUAUGUCGGUUGCCGGUUCUCCAGUGGUUAUCCCCAUUGUGGAAGGCACCUAUGCCCCUGAAGAUCAAGAUUUUCGUUUGGCACCUUCUCAUAGACCAUUUACCUUCGGGGACCGAGGUGCUGAAACGCCAUGCACCGGGCAAUGGCCUUUGCCCCCUCUGCCACGUCCUGGAAACGGGAACGCACGUUUUGUUCUCAUGCGUAGAAGCGCGGGCACUUUUAUGCUUUGUUCGUGAGGCUCUGGGACCGGAGUGGGAGGCCCAUGACCUUGCAGAGUUUCUGCAGGUAAGGGCCACUCAGGUUGGCCGUAAGCGCCGACUGUUCUGGCUCAUCUUCGCGGCUAUGAUGUGGACCCUUUGGACUACUCACAAUAAGAUGGUGAUUGAGCGGGUGUUCCCGCGGCGUUCUGACUCGUUCUUCAAAUUUUUUGCCUUCUUGCAGCACUGGCAUCUGCUCACUAGGCCGAGGGAUCGUGACCGGCUUCAGCUGUAUCUGGACGCUCCGUUGUCUUCCGCGCGCCGGCUAUCCGACCGUUCGCCUACUCCGUAG
rnacentral:rRNA from 1 species